rnacentral:rRNA from 1 species
UGGGGAAUAUUGGACAAUGGGCGAAAGCCUGAUCCAGCCAUGCCGCGUGAGUGAAGAAGGCCUUAGGGUUGUAAAGCUCUUUCAGCGGGGACGAUAAUGACGGUACCCGCAGAAGAAGCCCCGGCUAACUUCGUGCCAGCAGCCGCGGUAAUACGAAGGGGGCUAGCGUUGUUCGGAUUUACUGGGCGUAAAGCGCGCGUAGGCGGACAUUUAAGUCAGGGGUGAAAUCCCAGGGCUCAACCCUGGAACUGCCUUUGAUACUGACUGUCUGGAGUUCGGGAGAGGUGAGUGGAAUUCCGGGUGUAGAGGUGAAAUUCGUAGAUAUUCGGAGGAACACCAGAAGCGAAGGCGGCUCACUGGCCCGAUACUGACGCUGAGGCGCGAAAGCGUGGGGAGCAAACAGG